UUCUGGUCUCCUUGUGCAUAUGUGAG
rnacentral:piRNA from 1 species